AACGAACGCUGGCGGCAUGCUCAACACAUGCAAGUCGAACGAGGCCUUCGGGCCUUUUGGCGCUCGUGUGCGUACCGCGUGGGAACCUGCCCUUAGGUUCGGUAUACCUCCCCGAAAGGGGUGCUAAUACCGGAUAAUCUCUUCCGACCUAAGAUCUAUGGCUUUUGGAUGGGCCCGCGUUGGAUUCGCCGGUUGGUAGGGUAAAAGCCUACCAAGGCCACGAUGCAUGGCUGGUCGGAGAGGAGGACAAGCCACGAUGGAGCUGAGACACGGCCCAGGCUCGUACGGGAGGGAGCAGUGGGGAAUAUUAGACGAGGGGCGAAAGCCUGAUCCAGCAAUGCCGGGUGUGUGAUGAAGGCGUUAGGGUUGUAAAGCUCUUUUACACGGGAUGAUAAUGACGGUACCGGGAAAAUAAGCACCGGCUAACUACGUG
rnacentral:rRNA from 1 species